GCUGAGUGGGGAGGAGAGAGGGACAGAGAGCCUGCUUCUUUAAAGGAGCAAAGCGGGAGAGGAGAGGAGCCACUUACACGAGUGUAAGCGGCUCCUGUCCGGUUGGUUCCUUUAAAGCAAGCAGGCUCUCUGUCCCUCUCUCCUCCCCACUCAGC
rnacentral:miRNA from 1 species